ensembl:lncRNA
CCUGGCCUUGAAUGCCUCCAGGGUGGGAGCAUCCACAACCUCUCUGAGCAGCCUGUUCCAGUGCCUCAUCACCAUCAUGUUGCAGCUGACCAGAACUGAGCUGUGACUGACACUGGUUGUGCCUCUGUGAGAUCCAACUUAAGAAAAGCUUUUGUGCAGCUGCAGCCGGGAGAAAGGAGGGAACAAAUGUAGACAGCAAUAACUCUGCAUUCACCAAGGCCAGUGAGGAUGGAGGGGGAGGAGGUACUCCAGGCAUUGGAAGAGAAGUUCCUCUGCAGCCUGUGGAGAUGCUCAUGGUGCAGCAGGCUAUCCCCUGCAGCCCACGGGGUACCACACAGAGCAGAUCU